UGCAAGUCGAGGGGUAUGCUUCUUCGGAAGCAGAGACCGGCGCACGGGUGCGUAACGCGUAUGCAAUCUACCUUUCACAGAGGGAUAGCCCAGAGAAAUUUGGAUUAAUACCUCAUAGUAUAGCAGUUUCGCAUGAAACCACUAUUAAAGUCACGACGGUGAAAGAUGAGCAUGCGUCCCAUUAGCUAGUUGGUAAGGUAACGGCUUACCAAGGCAACGAUGGGUAGGGGUCCUGAGAGGGAGAUCCCCCACACUGGUACUGAGACACGGACCAGACUCCUACGGGAGGCAGCAGUGAGGAAUAUUGGACAAUGGGCGCAAGCCUGAUCCAGCCAUGCCGCGUGCAGGAUGACGGUCCUAUGGAUUGUAAACUGCUUUUAUACGAGAAGAAACCCUCCGACGUGUCGGAGCUUGACGGUAUCGUAAGAAUAAGGAUCGGCUAACUCCGUGCCAGCAGCCGCGGUAAUACGGAGGAUCCAAGCGUUAUCCGGAAUCAUUGGGUUUAAAGGGUCCGUAGGCGGUCAGAUAAGUCAGUGGUGAAAGCCCAUCGCUCAACGGUGGAACGGCCAUUGAUACUGUCUGACUUGAAUUAUUAGGAAGUAACUAGAAUAUGUAGUGUAGCGGUGAAAUGCUUAGAGAUUACAUGGAAUACCAAUUGCGAAGGCAGGUUACUACUAAUGGAUUGACGCUGAUGGACGAAAGCGUGGGU
rnacentral:rRNA from 1 species